UACUUGAAUGCAAUCUGUCAAUCUCAGACUAAUGUGGCUGAUCAGGGUUGGUUGUGGCUAAGAAGCUAACCGUAAUAUAGCUCAGGGUUGUGACUAAGAAUUCUGUUAACAGACUAUAAAGCUCAAGUGCUGUUUUUCCCCAUGCGUUCUACCCCC